CUAGCAUGAUUAGCAUGUCGCUAACAUGUUUUUUAGCAUUACUAGCAUGUCGCUAGCAUGUUUCUAACAUGAUUAGCAUGUCGCUAGCAUGUUUUUUAGCAUUACUAGCAUGUCGCUAGCAUGUUUUUUAGCAUUACUAGCAUGUCGCUAGCAUGUUUCUAACAUGAUUAGCAUGUCGCUAGCAUGUUUCUAGAUAGAUAGAUAGAUAGAUAGAUAAGGUUAGAUGAUAGAUAGAUAGAUAAGUUUAGAUGAUAGAUAGAUAGAUAGAUAGAUAAGGUUAGAUGAUAGAUAGAUAGAUAAAUAGAUAAGGUUAGAUGAUAGAUAGAUAGAUAGAUAGAUAGAUAGAUAGAUAGAUAGAUAGAUAAGGUUAGAUGAUAGAUAGAUAAGUUUAGAUGAUAGAUAGAUAGAUAGAUAGAUAGAUAAGGUUAGAUGAUAGAUAGAUAGAUAAGUUUAGAUGAUAGAUAGAUAGAUAGAUAGAUAAGGUUAGAUGAUAGAUAGAUAGAUAGAUAGAUAGACAGAUAGAUAAGGUUAGAUGAUAGAUAGAUAGAUAGAUAGAUAGAUAGAUAGAUAGAUAGAUAGAUAGAUAGAAUGAUAGAUAGAUAGAUAGAUAAGGUUAGAUGAUAGAUAGAUAGAUAGAUAGAUAGAUAGAUAGAUAGAUAGAUAGAUAGAUAAGUUUAGAUGAUAGAUAGAUAGAUAGAUAGAUAGAUAGAUAGAAUGAUAG